UACGAAGGACCCGAGCGUUAUCCGGAUUUAUUGGGCUUAAAGGGCGCGUAGGCGGAUUUAUAAGUCAGUGGUGAAAGCCUAUAGCUUAACUAUAGAAUUGCCAUUGAUACUGUAAGUCUUGAGUACAGUUGAGGUGGGCGGAAUGUGCAGUGUAGCGGUGAAAUGCUUAGAUAUUGCACAGAACACCAAUUGCGAAGGCAGCUCGCUAAGCUGUAACUGACGCUGAGGCACGAAAGUGUGGGUAGCAAACAGG
rnacentral:rRNA from 1 species